AGCUUUGCUCAGUGGCAGUAUCGUAGUCAAUGAGGUUUAUCCGAGGCGCGAUUAAUGCUAAAUGAAAAAAACUUAUCACUCUGACACAAAUGAUACCAGGGAUUGAAUUUGGACCUCACACUUAUAA
rnacentral:snRNA from 1 species